rnacentral:rRNA from 1 species
AUUGAACGCUGGCGGCAGGCCUAACACAUGCAAGUCGAGCGGAUGAAGGGAGCUUGCUCCCUGAUUCAGCGGCGGACGGGUGAGUAAUGCCUAGGAAUCUGCCUGGUAGUGGGGGACAACGUUUCGAAAGGAACGCUAAUACCGCAUACGUCCUACGGGAGAAAGCAGGGGACCUUCGGGCCUUGCGCUAUCAGAUGAGCCUAGGUCGGAUUAGCUAGUUGGUGAGGUAAUGGCUCACCAAGGCGACGAUCCGUAACUGGUCUGAGAGGAUGAUCGGUCACACUGGAACUGAGACACUGUCCAGACUCCUACGGGAGGCAGCAGUGGGGAAUAUUGGACAAUGGGCGAAAGCCUGAUCCAGCCAUGCCGCGUGUGUGAAGAAGGUCUUCGGAUUGUAAAGCACUUUAAGUUGGGAGGAAGGGUUGCUGAUUAAUACUCUGCAAUUUUGACGUUACCGACAGAAUAAGCACCGGCUAACUCUGUGCCAGCAGCCGCCGUAA